rnacentral:rRNA from 1 species
AUAAGUAGCCAUACUACCUGCAGUUCAGAUUAAGUGAUCCUAAUAUAAAGAUAUGCCGGAUUGGACCUGGCCUAUCCUUCGAUGGGAGACCACCUAGGAAAGCUGUGUUUCUGCUGGAA